AUUUAUGUAGUUUAUUAAAACAUUACAUUUUCACUGUAAAAAUAAAAUUUCCAUUUUCAUAAAUA
rnacentral:tRNA from 1 species